rnacentral:rRNA from 1 species
UACAGAGGUCUCAAGCGUUGUUCGGAUUCAUUGGGCGUAAAGGGUGCGUAGGCGGCGCGGUAAGUCGGGUGUGAAAUCUCGGAGCUUGACUCCGAAACUGCAUUCGAUACUGCCGCGCUUGAGGACUGGAGAGGAGACUGGAAUUUACGGUGUAGCGGUGAAAUGCGUAGAUAUCGUAAGGAAGACCAGUGGCGAAGGCGGGUCUCUGGACAGUUCCUGACGCUGAUGCACGAAGGUCAGGGGAGCAAACGGG